AGAGUUUGAUCCUGGCUCAGGAUGAACGCUAGCUACAGGCUUAACACAUGCAAGUCGAGGGGCAGCAUGGUCUUAGCUUGCUAAGGCCGAUGGCGACCGGCGCACGGGUGAGUAACGCGUAUCCAACCUGCCUUACACUCUUGGACAGCCUUCUGAAAGGGAGAUUAAUACAAGAUGUUAUCAUGAGUAAGCAUUUUCGCAUGAUUAAAGGUUUACCGGUGUAAGAUGGGGAUGCGUUCCAUUAGAUAGUAGGCGGGGUAACGGCCCACCUAGUCUUCGAUGGAUAGGGGUUCUGAGAGGAAGGUCCCCCACAUUGGAACUGAGACACGGUCCAAACUCCUACGGGAGGCAGCAGUGAGGAAUAUUGGUCAAUGGACGAGAGUCUGAACCAGCCAAGUAGCGUGAAGGAUGAAGGUUCUAUGGAUUGUAAACUUCUUUUAUACGGGAAUAAACGAAUCCACGCGUGGAUUUUUGCAUGUACCGUAUGAAUAAGGAUCGGCUAACUCCGUGCCAGCAGCCGCGGUAAUACGGAGGAUCCGAGCGUUAUCCGGAUUUAUUGGGUUUAAAGGGAGCGUAGAUGGGUUGUUAAGUCAGUUGUGAAAGUUUGCGGCUCAACCGUAAAAUUGCAAUUGAUACUGGCAGUCUUGAGUACAGUUGAGGUAGGCGGAAUUCGUGGUGUAGCGGUGAAAUGCUUAGAUAUCACGAAGAACUCCGAUUGCGAAGGCAGCUUACUAACCUGUAACUGACAUUGAUGCUCGAAAGUGUGGGUAUCAAACAGGAUUAGAUACCCUGGUAGUCCACACGGUAAACGAUGAAUACUCGCUGUAGGCGAUAUACAGUCUGCGGCCAAGCGAAAGCAUUAAGUAUUCCACCUGGGGAGUACGCCGGCAACGGUGAAACUCAAAGGAAUUGACGGGGGCCCGCACAAGCGGAGGAACAUGUGGUUUAAUUCGAUGAUACGCGAGGAACCUUACCCGGGCUUAAAUUGCAACCGAAUAUGGCGGAAACGCUAUAGCUAGCAAUAGCGGUUGUGAAGGUGCUACAUGGUUGUCGUCAGCUCGUGCCGUGAGGUGUCGGCUUAAGUGCCAUAACGAGCGCAACCCUUGCCGAUAGUUACUAACAGGUCAUGCUGAGGACUCUGUCGGGACUGCCAUCGUAAGAUGUGAGGAAGGUGGGGAUGACGUCAAAUCAGCACGGCCCUUACGUCCGGGGCUACACACGUGUUACAAUGGGGGGUACAGAGGGCUGCUACCACGCAAGUGGAUGCCAAUCCCAAAAACCUCUCUCAGUUCGGAUUGAAGUCUGCAACCCGACUUCAUGAAGCUGGAUUCGCUAGUAAUCGCGCAUCAGCCACGGCGCGGUGAAUACGUUCCCGGGCCUUGUACACACCGCCCGUCAAGCCAUGGGAGCCGGGGGUACCUGAAGUGCGUAACCGCAAGGAGCGCCCUAGGGUAAAACUGGUGACUGGGGCUAAGUCGUAACAAGGUAGCCG
rnacentral:rRNA from 1 species